rnacentral:rRNA from 1 species
GACGUAGGGGGCAAGCGUUAUUCGGAAUUAUUGGGCGUAAAGCGCUCGUAGGCGGGACGGGAAGUCCGUGAAGAAAGACCUGGGCUCAACUCAGGGACCGGCACGGAUACUCUCGUUCUUGAGGCAAUCAGAGGGUGAUGGAAUUCCCGGUGUAGCGGUGAAAUGCGCAGAUAUCGGGAAGAACACCCGUGGCGAAGGCGGCACUCUGGGACGGUACUGACGCUGAGACGCGAAAGCGUGGGGAGCGAACAGG